UGGCUGAAGCGCUCCUUGUUGGCUUCGAGAAGGCUGCGCAGGUGGAGCUGGGAGCCGUGCUCGCGGUACCGCUGCUGCAGCUUCUGGCACUGUGGUCUGGAUCAGGUAAAGAAAAAGGAACAUGCGUGCGGGAGGGAAUUAACCAGUCACUACCUGCAUAGGCACAAAGACUGGUAUAAACCCAGAAGGAAGUUUCCAGGCAGGCACCUGAGUCUCAGUUACAGGUCGGGUGAGGCGGAGGCGAGCUCGAAGCAGGGGCCGCUGCGAAAGUGGAGCUCCCAGGGCUUCAGCCUGCAGCCUCGGGGGAAGUCUCGUCCGUCCGGUGGAGGAAGAGUUUCUCACCUAUAGGAAGAACAUCGGACAGACGCCGUUUGGGGCGCACGUCCUCCUCCCCGACCCCCGGACGCAGAGGGAGUGGAGCCGGCUGAUGAGCGCCCCGCGGCCCACCCCCCCCGCCUCCCCCGGCCCUGCUCUCCGCCGUCCCCCUGGGGGGCGUGGAGGGGGGGAGCAGCCUCCGCGGGAGACCCGAGGCCCGGUGUGCGGACCUCCCUCCCAGGGCUGCGACCCUAGACAGGACUCCAUUUUAUCCGUGUGCGUAUCAUCCAAUUACAGAAUUCCCGGCACGGAUCGGUGUCCUGGUGGUAAUUUGCCUGAAGAAGGAAAGCGCAACACUCUGGAGGGCAGAGGGCGCAUCCCGAGAGCCCUGGGUUUCCUGUGCCGCCCGCCAGGCGUGGCGACUGAGGGGCAGCGUGGUCGGCGGGUACCUGGGGGCCCGCCCGUCGAAGGUGCACCGGGCGUCUCGGAGGACGCGUUCUUACAGGCAGCAGGAGAGCGCGCGCCUCUGGGGAGCACAGGACCCAGGUCAUUCCCACGCUGAGUCCCCAAGAGACAGCUGGGCUGGUGACGUCGCGACCCAACUCCUGGAAAUCGGGCUGUCCUGGCAGCGAAGAGGGAUGGGAGCAUAAACAAUAACAAUAACUAAAGAAGUAGGAGGUCGGGAUGACUCACAGUGGUGAGUCCAAAACACGGAGUCCGCAGUGAGCGUCUGUACAGCCGAAGAUUGCUCUUCCUCGCCCGGGCACCCAAGAUGAAACGCGGGGCACCUCCCUCUGAGUUCCUGCUGAGUCCCAGCGAUGCAAAAAAUAAUUAGCAGAGGAAGGCGUUUAUUGAAAGAAAACAGCUCCAGCAUGGAGGGGAGGUUGAAACAACUCACCCUUCUCUGUGGUUAUUCCUUUACGUGUAGGCUGUGUUUCAUCCCCUUCCAAUCAGAUUCCUAUUCCAUUCAGUCAUUCCUCCAACGAACCCACUGGGGCCCUUUGCCCUCAGAGCACUGCCUUACGGCAGCCAGUUCCCUCUUAGUCACAGUGGUUGACUGUUUGCCUCAGGAAGUCUGGAAGGUAGUCAUAACCUCCAGGGUGGUCACACAGGUAAUCUAAAUAUACCUUAACUAAGCAGGAAAACUGGAACCUGCAUGCUUCUGACCCAUACAACUACUAUGUUACAUAGGUGGCAAAGGGGACAGCAGAUCUGAGAUGGAGUCACUGUGGCUAUACCUAGCUCCAUAACCAAGGCCACAGGGCCUCAUCCUUCAGGAGUACAGGCUCAGUAAUCUGGCUACUAUGCUGGACACAUGCUCAGGACUCUUCCCUCCAAACAAAUGUCUCUCCCUGGCCUUGCUCACACCUGGGUUGCUUGAGCUCAGGAGUUGGAGACCAACCUGUGUUGGAGCCGGGAUGCUAGGUCACUGGCCCCAGCCCGUGAAACUGCCAGGACGCAGACCACUGUACAAGCUUGCUCAGGGUAUGGCUCCCCAUAAGUGCCGGGGACCCCGUUGUCUCAGUCAGGUAAAGCUCCCAAUCAGGAGGAGCCAAUUGUCUCAGUGAGGUCAGAGGUGCCAGAGUGCCUCAAAGAUGCAGCAGUCAGUCUUAGUGGGAGCCUCGACUAGCUUCUUCUGUGGCUGUUUAUAUUUAUACCACCACUGUGAUGACUGCCGAGCAAUGAUAUAUGUACCUGGGUGCUCUAGUGCCUCUUAAUGAGAGACCAAUCCCUUCCCCAUUCCCUUUUUACCAACGUGUUUCU